CCUACGGGAGGCAGCAGUGGGGAAUAUUGGACAAUGGGCGAAAGCCUGAUCCAGCAAUGCCGCGUGAGUGAUGAAGGCCUUAGGGUUGUAAAGCUCUUUUACCUAGGGAUGAUAAUGACAGUACCUGGAGAAUAAGCUCCGGCUAACUCCGUGCCAGCAGCCGCGGUAAUACGGAGGGAGCUAGCGUUGUUCGGAAUUACUGGGCGUAAAGCGUACGUAGGCGGUUAUUCAAGUCAGAGGUGAAAGCCUGGAGCUCAACUCCAGAACUGCCUUUGAAACUAGAUAGCUAGAAUCUUGGAGAGGUGAGUGGAAUUCCGAGUGUAGAGGUGAAAUUCGUAGAUAUUCGGAAGAACACCAGUGGCGAAGGCGACUCACUGGACAAGUAUUGACGCUGAGGUACGAAAGCGUGGGGAGCAAACAGGAUUAGAUACCCUGGUAGUCCACGCCGUAAACGAUGAUAACUAGCUGUUCGGGCUCUACGAGCUUGAGUGGCGCAGCUAACGCAUUAAGUUAUCCGCCUGGGGAGUACGGUCGCAAGAUUAAAACUUAAGGAAAUUGAAGG
rnacentral:rRNA from 1 species